rnacentral:lncRNA from 1 species
UCGAGGCCAGCAGACGCAGCAAGUCGCGGCCGAUCACGAAUCAAGCAGGAGUAACGACGUCUGGUUGCAGCAGUGGAGCUUCGGGCUGAGGGCAGAGCAGAAACGGCGUCGCGGGGACUCGGGAUCUGGUGCUCGGGCAGAGGUUCGGAGGUGGAGCGGCGAGGCGGCAGCGCUGGUGCACGGCUACUGGCGGAACGGCG